CGCGUAGGUGGUUUGUUAAGCGAGAUGUGAAAGCCCCGGGCUUAACCUGGGAACGGCAUUUCGAACUGGCAAACUAGAGUGUGGUAGAGGGUAGUGGAAUUUCCUGUGUAGCGGUGAAAUGCGUAGAUAUAGGAAGGAACACCAGUGGCGAAGGCGGCUACCUGGACCAGCACUGACACUGAGGUGCGAAAGCGUGGGGAGCAAACA
rnacentral:rRNA from 1 species